rnacentral:rRNA from 1 species
GACAGAGGUCCCAAGCGUUAGGCGGAAUCACUGGGCUUAAAGCGUGUGUAGGCGGACUUCUAAGUACCUUGUGAAAUCCCACGGCUCAACCGUGGAACUGCUUGGUAUACUGGUUGUCUUGGGCCAUCUAGGGGCUAGCGGAACAAACGGUGGAGCGGUGAAAUGCGUAGAUAUCGGAAAGAACACCGAUGGCGAAGGCGGAUCUCUGGGCCGUAACUGACGCUGAGGAGCGAAAGCAUGGGGAGCGAACAGG